rnacentral:rRNA from 1 species
AACGAACGCUGGCGGCAUGCCUAACACAUGCAAGUCGAACGAGACCUUCGGGUCUAGUGGCGCACGGGUGCGUAACGCGUGGGAACCUGCCCUUAGGUUCGGAAUAACUCCCCGAAAGGGGUGCUAAUACCGGAUAAUGUCUUCGGACCAAAGAUUUAUCGCCUUUGGAUGGGCCCGCGUUGGAUUAGCUAGUUGGUAGGGUAAAAGCCUACCAAGGCGACGAUCCAUAGCUGGUCUGAGAGGAUGAUCAGCCACACUGGGACUGAGACACGGCCCAGUCUCCUACGGGAGGCAGCAGUGGGGAAUAUUGGACAAUGGGCGAAAGCCUGAUCCAGCAAUGCCGCGUGAGUGAUGAAGGCCUUAGGGUUGUAAAGCUCUUUUACCCGGGAUGAUAAUGACAGUACCGGGAGAAUAAGCUCCGGCUAACUCCGUG